rnacentral:rRNA from 1 species
CAUCUCUUUUAGAUAAAAAUUUUAAGUUGACUCUGCCCAAUGAAAGGAAUUUGAAUGGCUGCAGUAUAUUAACUGUACAAAGGUAGCAUAAUAAAUUGUUUUUUAAAUGAAAACUUGAAUGAAAGAGGUGAUGAAAUAUAAACUUUUUUUAAUUAAAUUUUUGAAUUUAAUUUUUAAAUAAAAAAGUUUAAAUAAAUUUAAGGGACGAGAAGACCCUAUAGAAUUUUACAUUGUAAUUUUAUUUAAUAUUAAAAUAAUAUAAUGUUUGUUUGGGAGGAAUAUUAAAAUUUUAAACUUUAAAAUUAAUAUACAUAUAUAAAUGGUUAAAUUGAUUUUAUUUAAUUAAAUUUAAAAUUAAAUUACCUUAGGGAUAACAGCGUAAUAUUUUUUGAUAGUUCAUAUUAAAAAAAAUGUUU